rnacentral:rRNA from 1 species
UACGAAGGGGGCGAGCGUUGUUCGGAAUUACUGGGCGUAAAGGGCGCGUAGGCGGCAAUUCAAGUCAGCUGUGAAAUCUCCGAGCUUAACUCGGAACGGUCAGCUGAUACUGUUUUGCUAGAGUGCAGAAAGGGCAACCGGAAUUCUUGGUGUAGCGGUGAAAUGCGUAGAUAUCAAGAGGAACACCUGAGGCGAAGGCGGGUUGCUAGGCUGACACUGACGCUGAGGCGCGAAAGCUAGGGUAGCAAACGGG